ensembl:lncRNA
AGGGGAGAGCGCUGGCAUCUCACGGCGAGCUAAUUGGAGCUUCAGCUGCGUGCCUCUGGUUGUCCAGGAGCUUCCUUCUGCCCGUCCUAAGUAAGGAGAAGCAGCAGGAGGAACAGCCAGGGCCAGAUGGGACUGCAUGGAGGGAGAAUCGGAGACUCUGCUUGCAAGGUGUCUCUGUGCAGGUGGUGAUGCUGAACUCUCUGGAGCUGCUGUGUUCACCUAGAACUUGUUAGACCUGUGGAAAAGAUCUUGCCAAGGAGCUACAGAGGACAACAAAUGUUUCCCAGCCUUCCUACUGUAACACCCUGAUCCAGCCCAGCCUACUGGUGGGAAGGAAAAAUACGAUGAGUUUAAACCGCAGAAGGGAACAGAUUCAGUUCUCAAGUGCCUCUUCAUUGACCGUGGACCCCAACUUGUGUAUAAAUGGGUUGGAGCCUUGCCUCUUCCGCCUCUCUAUGGCAGAGAGCACCGUAGGUUCCUUCUGAGCUACGUUCAGCCUGACAAAUAUGCCCUGUUUUGUUUGUUCCGGGGUUCCAAGCUUUUUCAAGUGAUAGGUUUUAUAGCGUGGCGUGUUUAUAAAGACAAAAACAG